UUCCCUGCUUGGAGUCCCAUCAUAGGCCCCCUUGAUUGAGUUGAAGCUUUUUAUUCCAUAAAUCAUCACAUAUCCUUUUUUUAAUUUAAUAUUACAAUUAUUAUGUUUUAGAUAUUGUUAUGAUUUUUAUAUUAUAAUCCUCCCAGGAUUUAUGAAUUAUAUUUUAUUCAGCUUCAUGUAAAAAUGUGAAAAUAAAAACCACAUGGUUGAUUAGAAGAAAGCAGAUUUAUAAAUACUCCCUAUAAUGUGGAUAGAAAAUCAUCUUAUCCACUAAAGAUAAAAAGGAUUCAUUUUAGAAAUGAAAAAAGGUGGUAACCUCCUCAGUAGUAAAAAUAAAAUAAAUGGAGGUCCACGGUGUUUGAUGCAACCAGGACCAGAAGAAAAUCAGCAGCUCAGACCCGACGUCCGUCUGUAAUUCUUUAAUACAAACUUUAUGAUCUAAUCCAGAUGUUCUUUAAAUAUCUGACCUGCAAAGACUCAACUUGUUUACAAGCAGAUGAUUGCAAGUGAUGUUUCAGGCUUCCAUCACCAGAUAUAAACAGGACCAGUCAGAGACUAGAAGCUUCCACAUGCAAAGUCAGACAUCCGUUCCCUGCCUUUGACAUGCCAAAGACCACUAGGUAUGGAUGAAUGAAACCAGUUCCAAACUGGUUUAGAUAUCAAUCUAAAAGCUAAACCAUUUCCUCUGUGAGGACACAGCCCUUGUUCCUUUACGUUCCAAGCAAAUCUAUGCAAAACAAACUUGUUGAAUGUCAUUUAAGGCAGGAAAAGUCAGUCUGCAGGUGGAUUUCAGCAGUUUUCAGUGUUCAUGGUACCUCUGAGCUUCUGGAAUUAAAUGAAAAACUUUAUUGAUUUUCUGACGGAAAUUUAAAAUAGAAACAAGGUAAGUCUGCUUUUCUUUUCUAUUUCUCUCUUUUUUUAGAUCAUGGUGAUGAGGACAUAACAGCCUCUUGUGUAUUUUUUGAAGAGGGUUAACCAUCAACAUCUGAAAUAAACUCAUCCUGAAUCAGUUACUGAACAAUGAUUUUGUUCAGAAAAAUAAAUUGUGUUGGUUUUAUAUAAGAUUUUAUUAUAAUCGAUUCAGAAAUUUGUUUAUUUGACUUCCUGUGAGAUAAUAUAUUUGAUAAUAGUCAGAGAUGAUGAUCCAGUCGUGUCAACUUAGUGAUCCAUGCAUUAGGUGGGAAUGUUGGGUUCAAUGUGCUUAUCUGCUCUUGAGCAGAAAUGCUUGCGACAACUACUACACAUCGUGCUCCAUCGUUGGACCAGAGGGGCAUCAUGUGAGAAAAAAUGGAAAAAAUUUCUUGAUAAUUCUCUGAUAACAACUCAGUUUCUGAUUAGCAUCAGUCUGACUAACGGAGAGAAAGUGGAUGCUAUGAAAGUUAUACGACUCCUCCUGGCCGUGGCAGCUCACCUCAUGUUUGCAAUGGCAGGUAAACAUUAGCUCACAAGCAUUUACUGGUGAGCAUUGCUAGCUAUCAUUAGCUAGUGUGGAUUAGCUAGCUAGCAUUAAUUGCUGAGGAUUGGCUAGUUAGCAUUUACUGGUGAGGAUUGGUUAGCUGGCAUUAUCUGGUUGGGACUGGCUGACGAGGAUUAGCUAGCUAGCAUUAAUUGGUGAGUACUGGCUAGUUAGCAUUACCUGGUGGGGAUUGGCUAGCUAGAAUUAGCUGGGUAGCAUUAGCCAACAAGCAUUAGCUGGUAAGGAUUAGCUAGCUAGCAUUACCUGGUGAGGAUUGUUAGCUAGUAUUAGCCGGUGAUUAUGAGCUAGCUAGCAUUAGCUGAUGGACAUUAGCCAGCAAGCAUUAGCUGAUGAGAUUUAGCUAGCUUGCAUUAGCUGGUGAGGAUUGCUAGCUAGAAUUUUCUGGUGAGCAUCAACCAGCUAAACAUAAGCUAGUGGACAUUAGCCAGCUAGCAUUAGCUGGUGAGCACUAGCUAGAUAACAUUUUCUGGUGAGCGAUGGACAGUUAGCAUUAGCUGGUGAACAUUAUUCAGCUAGCAUUAGCUGGUGAUCAUCAGCCAGCUAAACAUUAGCUUGUGAGCACUAGCCAGCUAGCAUUAGUUGGUGUUCAUUUGCUAGCUAAACACUAGCUGGAUAAAAAUAAGCAUUUAAGCUAAAAUGACUUUGUUUUUCUUUCUGUCUGCUCGUUUUAUCAGAUAUGUUUAAUCAAGUACUGGUGUUAACUCUAAUUAUUUUUGAAGAGCAAACUUUACUAAAUAAGCAUGAAUUUUACCAUAAAAUAAACAACAAUAUAUUAUAUUUUUGUUCAAGAUGUUGAAUUCUAGUUUUUGUUCUGCUAAAUAAAUGACUGAGAUGAUCUUAAUCAGCAAUUUUAGAUAUGUCCCAGGUAAUUAGGAAAAUUGAUUAUUAGCGAUUAUUGACUCUUUCUGCUUCAUCAUGUGUGAAACAUCAGCAGGUCACAUGUUAACAUCACAUGUCAAGUGUUUUUCUAAGAUGAUCAGUGGUUAAAUAAUCUGUGUUUUAUUCUCUAUUCUGGACAAACUUUUCUCUAAUUAUCAUCACAGUGUUUGUCUUUAUUUCAGAUUCAGGUUAAACGUGGAGGAUCAGCAGGAUUCAUGUUGGAGAAACCAGAAAUUCCGGGUUAGCUGUGGAACCAGAAUGCAGCACAGUGGAAUCAGGAAGCAGAUGUGAUGCGGAGGAUACUUCACGUUCACUGCAGCAACUCUGAGACGUGUUUUACACGGGACAAAUGCAGACACCAACAACCAUCCCAAUGAUUCCAAUGAUCCCAGCAGCUGGAAGACCCACAAUCAGUCCAUAACGUCCUCUACUACCUCGAUCCUUGUCUCCUCCAUCCUUGUCUCCUCCAUCCUGGUUCCUUCCAUCCUGUGUUGUAGCUGCAGAUGAUAAUGGACUUGGACUCUGCAAUCAUGCUGCCUGUUCUUCUCUGGAAGACUCUACAUUCAUAUGUUCCUGUAUCAUCAGUCGUCACCUUCUUCAGAAUCAGAGACACGUCUCCAUCCUUCAUCUGUCUGUCCUGAAGGUCCACCCGGUUCUAGAAAGAUGGAUGCUGGUUUUCUGAAUCAAGGCGCCCACCUCUGUAGAAAAGAACAUCUUCCGGCUCCAGAUCAGGUCUGAUUCACCACACAGCUGAGGUGUGAAGUCCAUAAUCUGGAUCAAUAGGACUGAAUGAAUGAGGUCAAAGGUCUGCUGGCUGUUCAUGGCUGAGAGUGCUCAUGUGGUCGUCAUGACAACACCCCCCACUUAACUGACAGGCACACAGACUGAGAACAGAGCAGAGCUGAACUGCCGAUUCACUCUGCCACAUCCCAAACUCCUCAUUCCUGACAGAAAACCAAAAGAGAUAUCAAAAUGAUUCUUUCACCGUGAGUGCCAGGAGGGUCUGAGGAACACAGGGAUAUGAUUUAUUUUACUGUAAUGUGAACAGAAUUUAAAUCGUGAUGAGUUAAAUACACAUGAGAAAUGGCUUUUGGUCUUAGAAUCCAGCCUCUGGAUGGUGGAGAUGGGAUGGUCAUCACCAGGGUCAGAAAGGCAGAGGAGGGCAGCAGGUGGCAUCUCAGUGUCAGAAGGAAAGAAUACAAAAGCAUCAGAUAUUGUGGCUAGGUGUCUCAGUUGGUAGGGCGUCCGUCUGCCAUGCGGGAGACUGAAGUUCGAUUCCCAGAGUGGUGAAUUGCUUUGGAGAAAAGCGUCUGCUAAAUGACAGUAAAUGCACUGUAUUUAUACAGCACUUUACUGUACCUGGAAUGAUACCCAAAGCGCUUUACAUUAUACAUCACAUUCACCCAUUCACACACACAUUCACACAGAGUAUUCACUCAUUCAUUCCGAGUGUAGAACCGGCAACCUUCUGGUUAUAAGACAACCGCUCUACCUUGCUGGGCCACGCUGCCCCAGUAAUGAUGCCGGUAAUUUAGUUAUUUGUUUUGAUUUAUAAAAUAAAUGUAUGUACAGCUAUAUCUGGGAUUAGUAGCGUUUAUUUAGCGUUAAAUAAUAUUUACACUCAGAGGAAGUCCUGCAGGUGCAGAGGGACACAAUCACCGCUAUUAACCAGGUGGACAAGGAGUUGUGGAAAAUAAAGACUGUGUGGACAGAAAUUAGGUCAAC